UUAUCAUUUAGAGGAAGGAGAAGUCGUAACAAGGUUUCUUUAGGUGAACUGCGGAAGGAUCAUUG
rnacentral:rRNA from 1 species